rnacentral:rRNA from 1 species
GAUGAACGCUAGCUACAGGCUUAACACAUGCAAGUCGAGGGGCAGCAGCAAAGUUAGCUUGCUAACUUUAGAUGGCGACCGGCGGAUGGGUGAGUAACACGUAUCCAACCUGCCGCGCACAGCGGGAUAGGCUUUCAAAAGAAAGGUUAAUACCGCAUGGUUCAUGAAGGCCGCAUGGUUUUUAUGAUAAAAAUUUAUCGGUGCGCGAUGGGGAUGCGUUCCAUUAAACAGCAGGCGGGGUAACGGCCCACCUGGUCCACGAUGGAUAGGGGUUCUGAGAGGAAGGUCCCCCACAUUGAAACUGAGACACGGCCCAAACUCCUACGGGAGGCAGCAGUGAGGAAUAUUGGUCAAUGGGCGAGAGCCUGAACCAGCCAAGUAGCGUGCAGGAAGACGGCCCUAUGGGUUGUAAACUGCUUUUGAAGGGAAAUAAAGUGGCCCACGUGUUGGGUUUUUGUAUGUACCUUUCAAAUAAGGAUCGGCUAACUCCGUG